rnacentral:rRNA from 1 species
UGGAAACGAAUGCUAAUACCGCAUAAUAACUUUAAACAUAAGUUUUAAGUUUGAAAGAUGCAAUUGCAUCACUCAAAGAUGAUCCCGCGUUGUAUUAGCUAGUUGGUGAGGUAAAGGCUCACCAAGGCGAUGAUACAUAGCCGACCUGAGAGGGUGAUCGGCCACAUUGGGACUGAGACACGGCCCAA